GCUGGGCGUGGUGGCUCACGCCUGUAAUCCAAGCACUUUGGAGGCUAAGGCAGGCAGAUCACCUGAGGUCGGGAGUUCAAAACCAGCCUGACCAACAUGGUGAAACUCUGUCUUUA
ensembl:misc_RNA Metazoa_SRP Metazoan signal recognition particle RNA